UACGUAGGGUGCAAGCGUUAAUCGGAAUUACUGGGCGUAAAGCGUGCGCAGGCGGUUUUGUAAGUCUGUCGUGAAAUCCCCGGGCUCAACCUGGGAACUGCAUUUGUGACUGCAUCGCUGGAGUGCGGCAGAGGGGGAUGGAAUUCCGCGUGUAGCAGUGAAAUGCGUAGAUAUGCGGAGGAACACCGAUGGCGAAGGCAAUCCCCUGGGCCUGCACUGACGCUCCAUGCACGAAAGCGUGGGGAGCAAACAGG
rnacentral:rRNA from 1 species